CCUACGGGCGGCAGCAGUGGGGAAUAUUGCGCAAUGGGCGAAAGCCUGACGCAGCGACGCCGCGUGAGGGAUGAAGGUCUUCGGAUCAAAACUCUGUCAGCAGGGAGGAACGGUCACUGUGCUAAUCAGCAGUGCAUUGACGGUACCUGCAAAGGAAGCACCGGCUAACCCCGUGACAGCAGCCGCGGUAAUACGGAGGGUGCGCGCGUUAAUCGGAAUUACUGGGCGUAAAGGGCUCGUAGGCGGUAUGUCAAGGUAAGUGUGAAAUCCCCGCGCGCAACGUGGGAACUGCCUUGGAAACUGGCAAACUGGAGUGUGUGAGAGGAUAGCGGAAUUCCAGGUGUAGGAGUGAAAUCCGUAGAUAUCUGGAGGAACAUCAGUGGCGAAGGCGACUAUCUGGCACAUAACUGACGCUGAGGAGCGAAAGCGUGGGUAGCAAACAGGAUUAGAUACCCCUGUAGUC
rnacentral:rRNA from 1 species